rnacentral:rRNA from 1 species
UACGUAGGGUGCAAGCGUUAAUCGGAAUUACUGGGCGUAAAGCGUGCGCAGGCGGCUUUGCAAGACAGAUGGUGAAAUCCCCGGGCUUAACCUGGGAACUGCAUUUGUGACUGCAUGGCUGGAGUGCGGCAGAGGGGGAUGGAAUUCCGCGUGUAGCAGUGAAAUGCGUAGAUAUGCGGAGGAACACCGAUGGCGAAGGCAAUCCCCUGGGCCUGCACUGACGCUCAUGCACGAAAGCGUGGGGAGCAAACAGG